rnacentral:rRNA from 1 species
GGUCCCUAUCCGUCGCGGGCGCAGGAAAUUUUAGAGGAGCUGUACUUAGUACGAGAGGACCGGGAUGGACACACCGUUGGUGUACCAGCUGUUCCGCCCGGAGCAUCGCUGGGUAGCUAUGUGUGGCAGGGAUAAACGCUGAAAGCAUCUAAGCGUGAAGUCCCCCUCAAGAUGAGAUUUCCCAUUUCUUCGGUAAGUAAGAUCUCUGAAAGAUGAUCAGGUAGCUAGGUUUGGAGUGGAAGAGUAGUGAUACAUGGAGCGGACAAAUACUAGUCUCUC